rnacentral:rRNA from 2 species
UUCCAGCUCCAAUAGCGUAUAUUAAAGUUGUUGCGGUUAAAAAGCUCGUAGUUGAAUUUGUGUCCCGCACUGUCGGUUCACCGCCCGCGGUGCUAACUGGCAUGUUUGCGGGACGUCCUGCCGGUGGAUGUUCAGUAGUGAUUGAUUGGAAACUUUCUUUUACUAUUUCAUCCGACUUAUGAAUCCUGUCGCGGUGCUCUUAACUGAGUGUCGAGGCGGGCCGGCACGUUUACUUUGAACAAAUUAGAGUGCUCAAAGCAGGCUAAUUAAUGCCUGAAUAGUUAGUGCAUGGAAUAAUGAAACAGGACCUUGGUUCUAUUUUGUUGGUUUCCGGAACUCCAAGGUAAUGAUUAAUAGGGACAGAUGG